rnacentral:rRNA from 1 species
GAUGAACGCUGGCGGCGUGCUUAACACAUGCAAGUCGAACGGAAAGGCUCCUGCUUGCAGGGGUACUCGAGUGGCGAACGGGUGAGUAACACGUGGGUGAUCUGCCCUGCACUUCGGGAUAAGCCUGGGAAACUGGGUCUAAUACCGGAUAGGACGAUGGUUUGGAUGCCAUUGUGGAAAGUUUUUCGGUGUGGGAUGAGCUCGCGGCCUAUCAGCUUGUUGGUGGGGUAAUGGCCUACCAAGGCGUCGACGGGUAGCCGGCCUGAGAGGGUGUACGGCCACAUUGGGACUGAGAUACGGCCCAGACUCCUACGGGAGGCAGCAGGGGGGAAUAUUGCACAAUGGGCGCAAGCCUGAUGCAGCGACGCCGCGUGGGGGAUGACGGCCUUCGGGCUGUAAACUCCUUUCGCUAGGGACGAAGCGUUUUGUGACGGUACCUGGAGAAGAAGCACCGGCUAACUACGUG